rnacentral:rRNA from 1 species
CCUACGGGAGGCUGCAGUGGGGAAUAUUGGACAAUGGGGCGAACCCUGAUCCAGCCAUGCCGCGUGUGUGAAGAAGGCCCUCGGGUUGUAAAGCACUUUCAGUGAGGAAGAACGCCUGGUGGUUAAUACCCAUCAGGAAAGACAUCACUCACAGAAGAAGCACCGGCUAACUCCGUGCCAGCAGCCGCGGUAAUACGGAGGGUGCGAGCGUUAAUCGGAAUUACUGGGCGUAAAGCGCGCGUAGGUGGCUUGAUAAGCCGGUUGUGAAAGCCCCGGGCUCAACCUGGGAACGGCAUCCGGAACUGUCAAGCUAGAGUGCAGGAGAGGAAGGUAGAAUUCCCGGUGUAGCGGUGAAAUGCGUAGAGAUCGGGAGGAAUACCAGUGGCGAAGGCGGCCUUCUGGACUGACACUGACACUGAGGUGCGAAAGCGUGGGUAGCAAACAGGAUUAGAUACCCCAGUAGUC